GUCUUGUAACACGGACCAAGGAGUCUAACAUAUGUGCAAGUCAUUGGGUUAUAUUAAACCUAAUGGCGUAAUUAACUUAACUGUAUGGGAUUAAUUUUUAGUGUAUUACACUAUUAAUUCAAUCCCGGGGCGUUCCAUAUAGUUAUGUAUAAUGGUAAUUUAUUAUUAUUUAUACCUCUAACUGGAGCGUACCUUGAGCAUAUAUGCUGUGACCCGAAAGAUGGUGAACUAUACUUGAUCAGGUUGAAGUCAGGGGAAACCCUGAUGGAAGACCGAAACAGUUCUGACGUGCAAAUCGAUUGUCAGAAUUGAGUAUAGGGGCGAAAGACCAAUCGAACCAUCUAGUAGCUGGUUCCCUCCGAAGUUUCCCUCAGGAUAGCUGGUGCAUUUAAAUAUUAUGUAAAAUAAUCUUAUCUGGUAAAGCGAAUGAUUAGAGGCCUUAGGGUCGAAACGACCUUAACCUAUUCUCAAACUUUAAAUGGGUAAGAACCUCACCUUUCUUGAUAUGAAGGUUGAGGUUAUGAUAUAAUGUGCCCAGUGGGCCACUUUUGGUAAGCAGAACUGGCGCUGUGGGAUGAACCAAACGUAAUGUUACGGUGCCUAAAUUAACAACUCAUGCAGAUACCAUGAAAGGCGUUGGUUGCUUAAAACAGCAGGACGGUGGACAUGGAAGUCGUAAUCCGCUAAGGAGUGUGUAACAACUCACCUGCCGAAGCAACUAGCCCUUAAAAUGGAUGGCGCUUAAGUUGUAUACCUAUACAUUACCGCUAAAGUAGAUGAUUUAUAAUACAAUUUCGGUUGGAUUAUAAAUUUUGAAACUUUAGUGAGUAGGAGGGUACAAUGGUGUGCUUAGAAGUGUUUGGCGUAAGCCUGCAUGGAGCCGCUAUUGGUACAGAUCUUGGUGGUAGUAGCAAAUAAUCGAAUGAGACCUUGGAGGACUGAAGUGGAGAAGGGUUUCGUGUGAACAGUGGUUGAUCACGAGUUAGUCGGUCCUAAGUUCAAGGCGAAAGCCGAAAG
rnacentral:ncRNA from 1 species